CUGCAAUGUACCCAAGUGGCGUCGGGAGCAACUGCUUGCACGCGCGUUACCACUCCACUAUGUCUCCCUGUCAUGGCGUUUGCGCCAUCAGUACAGAUAUCAACAUGAGCAGCAGCUACGUUUGGCUACAUACAGACCAUUAGUGGAUUUCCCGCGAGAGAGUAACGGUUAAUGUGAUUGGAUGUUAAUUAUUUGACUAUAGCUAACAGGACUCUAGUCUGGAGUUAUAUCUUAGCUAACAGGACUAUAGUCUGGAAUUAUAUCUUAGCUAAUAGGACUAUAGCUAUAGUCUGGAGUUAUACCUUAGCUAAUAGAACUAUAGGCUGGAGUUAUAUCUUAGCUAAUAGGACCAUAGCUAUAGUCUGGAGUUAUACCUUAGCUAAUAGAACUAUAGUCUGGAGUUAUAUCUUAGCUAAUAGAACUAUAGUCUGGAGUUAUACCUUAGCUAACAGGACUAUAGCUAUAGUCUGGAGUUAUAUCUUAGCUAAUAGGACUAUAGUCAGGAGUUAUAUCUUAGCUAAUAGGACUAUAGCUAUAGUCUGGAGUUAUAUCUUAGCUAAUAUGACUAUAGUCUGGAGUUAUAUCUUAGCUAACAGGACUAUAGCUAUAGUCUGGAGUUUUAUCUUAGCUAAUUGGACUAUAGCUAUAGUCUGGAGUUAUACCUAAGUUAACAGGACUAUAGUCUGGAGUUAUAUCUUAGCUAAUAGGACUAUGGCUAUAGUCUGGAGUUAUAUCUUAGCGAAUAGGACUAUAGCUAUAGUCUGGAGUUUUAUCUUAGCUAAUUGGACUAUAGCUAUAGUCUGGAGUUAUACCUAAGCUAACAGGACUAUAGUCUGGAGUUAUAUCUUAGCUAAUAGGACUAUAGCUAUAGUCAGGAGUUAUAUCUUAGCUAGUAGGACUAUAGUCAGGAGUUAUAUCUUAUACUGUUUCCUGACUUCACUACAACAACAGUGAAAAAGAGAUGUGAUGUCCGUCUGACAUUCAGGAUUACUCUCCUGAACAACUUAUGAAGACAAGCUGCUGUUAGAGAACGAAGCAGACCGUUGUCUCAGAAACCAGUUGGACUCCGGUGCAACAGAAACGGCUAAACAUUUUGAAAGAAAGAUAACUACUUCCUCUGUUUUCAUAUACGCAACCUUUCUAAACGGUUUGGACAGUUUCACUCUUUGUUAAGUGUUUCAAAAUGUCUGAUGUAGUUUUGUUUCAGAGCGUCAUCCAUUUGUUGGAGGGGAAGAGGAGCCAAUAGCAGUCAACGGUGAACAUUCGUAUGAAUUUUAUAAUAGACACACACAAAAAAAAACAAGACCACUUUAGUGCUUAAAAAAACCAUUUUACUGAUACUGCUCAAGUGUUCAAAGGUCUGUGUGUAUUAACAUAGACACUAAAGUUAUGAAAUAAUUAUAAUUAAAAAUCGACCUGUCCAUGAUAACGUGUGGUGUUUACAUGUAACAUAUUGUGUUUUCUAUGUAACACAGACAAAAAUUAACUUUCAAACAGAACAUACAGGUAGGACAGAUGUGGGGUACAGUAGGACACAGGACAGGUAGGACACAGGACAGGUAGGACACAGGACAGGUAGGACACAGGACAGGUAGGACACAGGACAGGUAGGACACAGGACAGGUACAGUAGGACACAGGACAGGUAGGACACAGGACAGAUAAUACUGAUGUGACUACAGGUAGGAAACAGAACAGGUACAGUAGGACACAGGACAGGUAGGACACAGGACAGGUAGGACACAGGACAGUAAUACUGGUGUGACUACAGGUAGGACACAGGACAGGUACAGUAGGACACAGGACAGGUAGGAAACAGGACAGUAAUACUGGUGUGACUACAGGUAGGACACAGGACAGGUACAGUAGGACACAGGACAGGUAGGAAACAGGACAGUAAUACUGGUGUGACUACAGGUAGGACACAGGACAGGUAGGACACAGGACAGGUAGGACACAGGACAGUAAUACUGAUGUGACUACAGGUAGGAAACAGGACAGGUACAGUAGGACACAGGACAGGUAGGAUACAGGACAGGUAGGACACAGGACAGUAAUACUGGUGUGACUACAGGUAGGACACAGAACAGGUACAGUAGGACACAGGACAGGUACAGUAGGACACAGGACAGGUAGGACACAGGACAGGUAAAGUAGGACACAGGUCAGGUACAGUAGGACACAGGACAGGUAGGACACAGGACAGGUACAGUAGGACACAGGACAGGUAGGACACAGGACAGGUACAGUAGGACACAGGACAGGUAGGACACAGGACAGGUAGGACUCAGGACAGGUAGGACUCAGGACAGUAAUACUGGUGUGACUACAGGUAGGACACAGGACAGGUAGGACACAGGACAGGUAGGACUCAGGACAGGUAGGACUCAGGACAGUAAUACUGGUGUCAUGGCAACAAGACUUUCAAACAGCAAAGUUAACACGGUAAAACACGUCAUAGUAAAACUAACUGAUGAUGAAUCUAUGGAUCUGCCUCCGAAAGACAAGACAUUAAAUACUAGAUAGACGUGACAAAACAUAUCUGUUUUUCCAUCUGGACAUUUGAGAACAAGAAGUGUUUGAUUAAAAUAAAGUUGAACAGUGUGAAUGAAAAGUUUUUAGCAAUACUGUCAACAAUUACAGUCUUCACACUGUAAUAAAAACAUAAAAUAAUAUAAUGAAACAAUCACCUUGUAUCUGCUGAGUUUUAUGACAUAAAGACAAGACUAAGACACCUCUGGACUGUGUAAUAACACCUCUGGACUGUGUAAUAACACCUCUGGACUGUGUAAUAACACCUCUGGACUGUGUAAUA
ensembl:lncRNA